UACGUAGGAGGCGAGCGUUGUCCGGAAUUACUGGGUGUAAAGCGCGCGUAGGCGGCAGGCCAAGUCUGUGGUGAAAUCGCUCGGCUCAACUGGGCGGGGUCCAUGGAAACUGGUCAGCUGGAGGACGGUAGAGGGGCAUGGAAUUCCCGGUGUAGUGGUGAAAUGCGUAGAGAUCGGGAGGAACACCCGUGGCGAAGGCGGUGCCCUGGGCCGGUCCUGACGCUGAGGCGCGAAGGCGUGGGGAGCGAACGGG
rnacentral:rRNA from 1 species